ensembl:lncRNA
CCGACCAGUUUAUUACAAAUGUUAAUAACGGAGAUGGGGAAAGGGGAGGACGGACGCUAUUAAGGAUUGGGGUGAUGGGGAAGGGAAGGCGAGCGAUAGAAAAGAUAGAAAGAGGCAAGAAUUGCGUAAAGCGGGGAUAGUCACCACCAGGAUCCGGCAGCAGUCCCGUUGCACGACGUUCCGACGGUCCGAGGCCGAAGGGCAGGAGCAGCGAGGCCGGUCUUGGGCAGCGAGAGGAUGCAGGUCAGGGAGGAAGCAGCAGGUCUCAGGUAGCAGGCCCAGGGAAGUCCGUCAGCAAACGGUCCGUAGAGGAGGAUCGGAAGGCAGGAAGCUCGUGUCGUGGUGAGAGAUCAGUCUCCACGUAGAGAUCCGUCUACACGUUGCGGUGAGAGAUCAGUUGGCAGAGAGAACCCCUCAAGUCUGUCGUGGUGAGAGAUAAGCCUCUCCCGUUGCCGUGGUUGUGGUGAAGGAUCAGCUUCCCCCGUUGUGGUUAUUGGACCCUCUUUUAUCCUCCAUUUUCUGCUGCCUACGUGACAUUCCUGGGGGCUUGAGCAAGAGUCCUGUGCAUACCUCCUGAGAUGGCCAUUUUCCUUGAGAUAAGUCCACACAAAAAGACCGUUUCCCGGCCAUUAGCGGCAGCUUAUCUCUCUCUCGAUGCCCCUGGCCUUGUCCAUCUGUGCUCCUUAAAGGAUUUCACAAUCCUUAGCCAGGACCUGUCCAUCAGUGUCCUCAAGACAAAAGAUUUCUCUGCCUUUGCCCAGGACUUGCCUGGACUUGUUCCUCAGCAAACUUUGAGUCAAUGAUAUAAAAGAAUAGUCUCUUACACCACCCCGUGACUCAAAGAUUGCUUAAAAAUGGGACACUGGGCAUCCAUGAUGGUGAGAAAAAGAUAGCAAGCAUAAGGGUAAAGGAGGGAGGUGUUGGGGAUUCAAAUGUUUCAUACAAUCAUUACAAACAUUUUUCAGGUUUGGUUACAAAGUAAAUAGGGGAUACAACAUCUUGUAUAAAACAUGGAAUCAUACAAGGUACAAACAUAAGAGUUGCAACAGUACACAAUGCAACUUGCCACAGACACCACCCCGUGAUUCUUCAGGAGUGGUAACAUGAAUAUUACAUAAUGAAUAGAAGAGAGAAAAGAGACAACCGUACAUUUGACAAUAACCACUAAUAAUAAAUAAACAAUUAACAGAUUGUUUGUUUCCUUUAGUCGUGAGCUUCCUAAUAAACAUCCACCCUUCACCACCCCACCCACCUCCCGCUCACCUGGGAGGGGGGGGACGAAGGCAUCAGCUCUCCUUGAGCUUUUGUUCUGGCCAGCAGUUAACUAAUUUCUCUAAUCUGACUGUGGGUAAUCCAUUCAUCAAAUCUCGUGGAAUACCCUUUGUCCAGCCCAGAGUCCAAAGUCCAUUGCGUUUAUGAUCAAUGCAUCGUGUCCCCGUUUUUACUGGGGAUGAAACCUUUUUGGUUCCAAUAAGUCUUGGGCUAGGAGGCCUGGAGGCAAGGCUGGCUACUGCAAGCCUUACUCCUCUUGGCUCAAAUUUACUGGAGGUAGAAACCACCGGCCCAUAUUUUCUUCCAUAGUUAAUUAAUUCUUGGGCAACCUCUCCCCAAGUCCACACUUUGGAUCCUGACUGGUGGUUAGGGGCUACAGAUCCCUCCAACGCUGCCCAGGUUCUCUCUCCCUGAGACAUGGCUUGUAUCUUUCCUUGGAGUUGUAUACCUAUAGGUUUUAACGAUUCAGGAAGUCCCCUGAUUAGAGGUGUCAGUCUCUCCGGAUUAACAGGUAACAUCAUGGGUGAUUCAUGAUGUGGCUGCAACUUUCUAUCAUACAUCAUUUGGAGACAAGCAGCUUUCUGAACAUUCUCCACUAACUGGUCGAUAGUUCCGGUAAUAGCAAGAGGGUCCCCCCUUUCUAAAGGGUUGAGACCCCCUGCCCAAUAGGCAGCCCUCUGUGUUAAGGACCAGGGAGCACGAUUAUUGCCAGUGGUUAAAAAUACUCCUGGUCCCCAGUAACCUUCAGCUUCUUUCUCUGUUAGUAGGAUCUGGUCUCCGCCAGUGAGACUAACUCUCCAGACGUACUCUGUUUCAGACUCCUUUGGGGAGCGACUGAAAUCCUUUUUCAGUUUGGCCAGUUCAGUGGCCGAAAAGGGAAUUUCCUUAACAUUCAUUUGAGGAUCUAGAUCCUCACUGUUAUCGAAAGUAUAUUCAGUUUUUAUCAAAGGACGAAUGUGGGCUGGAGAGGCCUCUAAUUUAUCUAGCCUUUCCUUCACCUCUUGUAAUUUCCCUUGAGGAUAAACUUUUUCUUGAGGUGCACUGUGGAUAACAGUGUCACCGGUGUCCUUACACGUUAUCAGCUCCUUAAAAGCUGUUUGCAACAAAACCGAAUUAUGUUUUUCUCUUUCUAAUUGAUCCUCAAGACUCGUUAUUUGGCUUUGCAGAGAUUUUACCAAUUCUUGCGUCACUUUAACCGAUUCCUGUAAUGCUUGAAUAGUCUGGGUUUCCGUAGAGUUCUUUUCCUCUCGGAACUCCACAGCUGCUUUUAAAGCAGCACCGAGUACUGCACAAAUAAAAGAUUUCCCUUUUCCGGCCCGAGUACGAGCCUCAUUUUGUAAAACACGAAUACGGUCUGAAACACUUUGCAAAUUAUACCAGUUCUGUCGUGCCCAAUCCACCCCUGAUACAGAAGGCCGAGCACCAUGCUUUUCUAAAAGAUCAAAUAACACAUCUUCACUUUUCAUACUGGCCAUACUGUUGCUCAUUUCUAAAUACGCAGAAAGAUAUACACUGAGAGAGGAGGAGGUACUCCUAUUCAAAAGUACAAAUAACUCCUUAUCGCCUCUCCCACAGAGGCACACCACACCUAAAGAAAUGUAAAUGUUCCGAUCGCGCCUCCCUUUGUUGAGGAAAGCACAAGGACAAAGAGGCUAAACCAACUUAAAAUCGCUCCCAACUUCCCUGCGAAGCCACACAAAAAACUGCAAACACCACACCAAAGCAAGGCACACUUCGGUUUCAAAACCCGCAGUUAAUUUUAAGCUAAAACAACACUUUCUAGGAUUCAACAAAGUGAAUAAACUUCUUAGAGAGGCGCACACGUUUUUUAAGUCAAAAAACGUGUAUCACUUCCUUACUUCCCCAAGAGGCGCACAAGAAAGAGGUUCAAAUUUCACACUUAAGUUGCAAGAUCCUUGAGUCACAAAAUGCAGAGAGGUCUUCCCGAGGAGGCACACACGUAUUAAAUGCAAUUAGACAAGAUUCAUACGUCCUCGAGAGGUACACACAUAAAUAGUAAAGUUUCAGAGUAUGAAGCGAUCUUCCUGGAGAGGUGCUCACGUCUAAGUUAUCAAAAAGUAUCGCUUCUUGCAACUCCAGGAGGUACACGCAGAAAGUUUCAGACUAUUAUCUGGAAGGACAACACUCUCACGGCGGGUAUCCUGCUUCGACUACGCCAUAAAAAAAAUGUCUCGCUCCAAUUUAUAGGAGGGAGAAGAGGUUCUUUGAAAUAUGUAUGCCCGGCGUGAGAUUAAGAAACAGCGGUUCAAAUGUUGGUCCGACCAGUUUAUUACAAAUGUUAAUAAGGGAGAUGGGGAAAGGAGAGGACGGACGCUAUUAAGGAUUGGGGUGAUGGGGAAGGGAAGGCGAGCGAUAGAAAAGAUAGAAAGAGGCAAGAAUUGCGUAAAGCGGGGAUAGUCACCACCAGGAUCCGGCAGCAGUCCCGUUGCACGACGUUCCGACGGUCCGAGGCCGAAGGGCAGGAGCAGCGAGGCCGGUCUUGGGCAACGAGAGGGUGCAGGUCGGGGAGGAAGCAGCAGGUCUCAGGUAGCAGGCCCAGGGAAGUCCGUCAGCAAACGGUCCGUAGAGGAGGAUCGGAAGGCAGGAAGCUCGUGUCGUGGUGAGAGAUCAGUCUCCACGUAGAGAUCCGUCUACACGUUGCGGUGAGAGAUCAGUUGGCAGAGAGAACCCCUCAAGUCUGUCGUGGUGAGAGAUAAGCCUCUCCCGUUGCCGUGGUUGUGGUGAAGGAUCAGCUUCCCCCGUUGUGGUUAUUGGACCCUCUUUUAUCCUCCAUUUUCUGCUGCCUACGUGACAUUCCUGGGGGCUUGAGCAAGAGUCCUGUGCAUACCUCCUGAGAUGGCCAUUUUCCUUGAGAUAAGUCCACACAAAAAGACCGUUUCCCGGCCAUUAGCGGCAGCUUAUCUCUCUCUCGAUGCCCCUGGCCUUGUCCAUCUGUGCUCCUUAAAGGAUUUCACAAUCCUUAGCCAGGACCUGUCCAUCAGUGUCCUCAAGACAAAAGAUUUCUCUGCCUUUGCCCAGGACUUGCCUGGACUUGUUCCUCAGCAAACUUUGAGUCAAUGAUAUAAAAGAAUAGUCUCUUAC